rnacentral:tRNA from 1 species
GGAGAGAUGGCUGAGUGGUUGAUAGCUCCGGUCUUGAAAACCGGUAUAGUUCUAGGAAGUUAUCCUAUAGAUGCUGUAUCCAUGCCUGUUCGAAAUGUGAAUUAUAGUAUUUUUUCUU